UCCUUGGUGGCUCAGAUGGUAAGUAAAGCGUCUGCCUGCAAUACAGGAGACCCAGGUUCGAUCCCUGGGUUGGGAA
rnacentral:tRNA from 1 species